GACGAACGCUGGCGGCGUGCCUAAUACAUGCAAGUUGAGCGAUGAAGAUUGGUGCUUGCACCAAUUUGAAGAGCAGCGAACGGGUGAGUAACGCGUGGGGAAUCUGCCUUUGAGCGGGGGACAACAUUUGGAAACGAAUGCUAAUACCGCAUAACAACUUUAAACAUAAGUUUUAAGUUUGAAAGAUGCAAUUGCAUCACUCAAAGAUGAUCCCGCGUUGUAUUAGCUAGUUGGUGAGGUAAAGGCUCACCAAGGCGAUGAUACAUAGCCGACCUGAGAGGGUGAUAGGCCACAUUGGGACUGAGACACGGCCCAAACUCCUACGGGAGGCAGCAGUAGGGAAUCUUCGGCGAUGGACGAAAGUCUGACCGAGCAACGCCGCGUGAGUGAAGAAGGUUUUCGGAUCGUAAAACUCUGUUGGUAGAGAAGAACGUUGGUGAGAGUGGAAAGCUCAUCAAGUGACGGUAACUACCCAGAAAGGGACGGCUAACUACGUG
rnacentral:rRNA from 1 species